UUGACCUCGGAUCAGGUAGGAAUACCCGCUGAACUUAAGCAUAUCAAUAAGCGGAGGAAAAGAAACCAACAGGGAUUGCCUUAGUAACGGCGAGUGAAGCGGCAACAGCUCAAAUUUGAAAUCUGGCCCCCAGGCCCGAGUUGUAAUUUGUAGAGGAUGCUUCUGGCGACGCGCCUUCCGAGUUCCCUGGAACGGGACGCCAAAGAGGGUGAGAGCCCCGUCCGGUCGUGCGCCUAGCCUCUGUGAAGCUCCUUCGACGAGUCGAGUAGUUUGGGAAUGCUGCUCUAAAUGGGAGGUAUACGUCUUCUAAAGCUAAAUAUUGGCCAGAGACCGAUAGCGCACAAGUAGAGUGAUCGAAAGAUGAAAAGCACUUUGAAAAGAGGGUUAAAUAGUACGUGAAAUUGCUGAAAGGGAAGCGCUUAUGACCAGACUUGGGCUUGGUGAAUCAUCCGGCGUUCUCGCCGGUGCACUUUGCCGGUCCAGGCCAGCAUCAGUUCGCUCCGGGGGAUAAAGGCUUCGGGAAUGUAGCUCCUUCGGGAGUGUUAUAGACCGUUGCGUAAUACCCUGGGGUGGACUGAGGUACGCGUUCUGCAAGGAUGCUGGCGUAAUGGUCAUCAGCGACCCGUCUUGAAAAACCGGA
rnacentral:rRNA from 1 species